CCUACGGGAGGCAGCAGUGAGGAAUAUUGGACAAUGGGCGCAAGCCUGAUCCAGCCAUGCCGCGUGCAGGAAGAAGCAUCUAUGGUGUGUAAACUGCUUUUGUACAGGAAGAAACACUCCCUCGUGAGGGAGCUUGACGGUACUGUAAGAAUAAGGACCGGCUAACUCCGUGCCAGCAGCCGCGGUAAUACGGAGGGUCCGAGCGUUAUCCGGAAUCAUUGGGUUUAAAGGGUCCGUAGGCGGUUUAAUAAGUCAGUGGUGAAAUCUGGUCGCUCAACGAUCAAACGGCCAUUGAUACUGUUAGACUUGAAUUAUAAGGAAGUAACUAGAAUAUGUAGUGUAGCGGUGAAAUGCUUAGAUAUUACAUGGAAUACCAACUGCGAAGGCAGGUUACUACUUAUGGAUUGACGCUGAUGGACGAAAGCGUGGGGAGCGAACAGGAUUAGAUACCCUGGUAGUCCACGCCGUAAACGAUGGAUACUAGCUGUUCGGAGCAAUCUGAGUGGCUAAGCGAAAGUGAUAAGUAUCCCACCUGGGGAGUACGUUCGCAAGAAGAGAAGACANAGAGUAGAGCGNGAGAGAGACGAGACGACGACGAGGGAGGAGG
rnacentral:rRNA from 1 species